rnacentral:misc_RNA from 1 species
AACCUAGCACACCUGCGGUGUGUACCUGCGGAAGGAUCAUUACCGAGUGCGGGUCCUCGUGGCCCAACCUCCCACCCGUGACUAUUGUACCUUGUUGCUUCGGCGGGCCCGCCAGCCCUGCUGGCCGCCGGGGGGCGUCUCGCCCCCGGGCCCGUGCCCGCCGGAGACCCCAACAUGAACCCUGUUCUGAAAGCUUGCAGUCUGAGUGUGAUUCUUUGCAAUCAGUUAAAACUUUCAACA